UACGAAGGGGGCUAGCGUUGUUCGGAAUUACUGGGCGUAAAGCGCGCGUAGGCGGUGAUCUUUGUCAGAGGUGAAAGCCCGGGGCUCAACUCCGGAAUUGCCUUUGAAACGGGAUUGCUUGAGUCCGAGAGAGGAUGGCGGAAUUCCUAGUGUAGAGGUGAAAUUCGUAGAUAUUCGCAAGAACACCAGUGGCGAAGGCGGCUCACUGGCCCGAUACUGACGCUGAGGCACGAAAGCGUGGGGAGCAAACAGG
rnacentral:rRNA from 1 species